GUGGCGAGCGAAACUGGAUGAGGCCAAACCGUAGGCGUGUGAUACCCGGCAGGGGUUGCGCUUACGGGGUUGUGGGAUCGUACUUCAGUCGUCUGCCGGCGGCUGGGCAAGUCAGAAACCGUAUGGAUAGGCGAAGGGCAUGCGAAAGGCCCGGCGUAGAGGGUAAGACCCCCGUAGCUGAAAUCUGUACGGCUUGUUUGUGCGACUCCCAAGUAGCACGGGGCCCGAGAAAUCCUGUGUGAAUCUGGCGGGACCACCCGCUAAGCCUA
rnacentral:rRNA from 1 species